CAUGAACCCAGUCACCCACUGCAACACAACGUCAUUUUACUAAUCAAUCUUCAAAACUAGUACAACCCCAAUAAAAUAUUUAGGACAUAGAGCAUAGGUUGAAGUGACAGUAAUGAAUGGGUCUAAUUAAUAAAUCGUUUCAUAGUCUCUUAAAGGGAAUCUUGUCAGCUUUCAGCUUCCGUAAACAAAUUAGAAUCUAAUCCCAAGUGGGUUACACAGUUUCUUCCUUUUGUCAUUCUUUGCAUUAUUGUUGAGAAAACAUUUUCUAAAGAGAGAGAAAUCAUAAAGACAGUAACGUGUAAUCCGACCUUUUGAAAUAAUUUAAAUCUUGGAAAGCAUCUAGUUCUUUUUCGAUGAUGCAUUAAAACUUUAUCUCAGAGGCUUAGUGCUAGUAUAAUAUAGAGAUAAAAAUAAUAUUGGUUGGUGGUGGAAAGAGGAAAAAGACGAACCUGGGCAGCGAAGAGAGAAACAG